AACGUACGCUGGCGGCACGCCUAACACAUGCAAGUCGAACGAAGUAGCAAUACUUAGUGGCAGACGGGUGAGUAACAUGUGGGUAUCUGCCCUUUGGCCUGGAAUAACACGAGGAAACUUGUGCUAAUACCGGAUAAGUCUUUACGGAGAAAGCUUUAUGCACCAUUGGAUGAGCCCGCACUUGAUUAGUUUGUUGGUGGGGUAAUGGCCUACCAAGACUGUGAUCAAUAGCUGAUUUGAGAGGAUGAUCAGCCACAUUGGGACUGAGACACGGCCCAAACUCCUACGGGAGGCAGCAGUGGGGAAUCUUGCACAAUGGAGGAAACUCUGAUGCAGCGAUGCCGCGUGAGUGAAGAAGGCCCUUGGGUUGUAAAGCUCUUUCGUCGGGGAAGAAAAUGACUGUACCCGAAUAAGAAGGUCCGGCUAACUUCGUGCCAGCAGCCGCGGUAAUACGAAGGGACCUAGCGUAGUUCGGAAUUACUGGGCUUAAAGAGUUCGUAGGUGGUUGAAAAAGUUAGUGGUGAAAUCCCAGAGCUUAACUCUGGAACUGCCAUUAAAACUUUUCAGCUAGAGUAUGAUAGAGGAAAGCAGAAUUUCUAGUGUAGAGGUGAAAUUCGUAGAUAUUAGAAAGAAUACCAAUUGCGAAGGCAGCUUUCUGGAUCAUUACUGACACUGAGGAACGAAAGCAUGGGUAGCGAAGAGGAUUAGAUACCCUCGUAGUCCAUGCCGUAAACGAUGUGUGUUAGACGUUGGAAAUUUAUUUUCAGUGUCGCAGCGAAAGCGAUAAACACACCGCCUGGGGAGUACGACCGCAAGGUUAAAACUCAAAUGAAUUGACGGGGACCCGCACAAGUAGUGGAGCAUGUGGUUUAAUUCGAAGAUACGCGCAGAACCUUACCAACACUUGACAUGUUCGUCGCGACUCUAAGAGAUUAGAGUUUUCGGUUCGGCCGGACGAAACACAGGUGCUGCAUGGCUGUCGUCAGCUCGUGUCGUGAGAUGUUGGGUUAAGUCCCGCAACGAGCGCAACCCUCACUUUUAGUUGCCAUCAUUAAGUUGGGCACUCUGAAAGAACUGCCAGUGAUAAGCCGGAGGAAGGUGGGGAUGACGUCAAGUCCUCAUGGCCCUUACGUGUUGGGCUACACACGUGCUACAAUGGUAUCUACAACAGGAAGCAAGACUGCGAGGUCAAGCAAAUCCUUAAAAGAUACCUCAGUUCGGAUUGCACUCUGCAACUCGAGUGCAUGAAGCUGGAAUUACUAGUAAUCGUGGAUCAGCGUGCCACGGUGAAUGCGUUCCCGGGUCU
rnacentral:rRNA from 1 species